GGAAGGGAAAAGAGAAUGUGGGUGGCCGGAGUCCCAUUUUUCAUCAAGAAAUUGGAAAACCCGCAAGGAACAACUCUACGCAUGAUCUGUGAAGAAGUUUGGCCGAGAUCUCAACCUGAAGGCGGAGGUCCGAGAAUCAUCUGAGAACGGUGAGCGAACUUCCGACGCUCUUAACUCGUCCAGUAGUCAAGCAAAAAUAUUACAAAAAAUACAAGGACGUAGCCCGUAAAACGAUCUAGAACUUUGCUGAAGGAAUCAUAUCGAUCCGAUCUACGGAUCGAAAGAUAUGAAAAUCGGAAAAGGGGAUUGUGUUUCAGUUUUUAGAGGACAGAGAA